GAAUUUUGGACAUUGGUCGAAAGCCUGAUCCAGCAAUGCCGCGUGCAGGAUGAAGGCCUUCGGGUUGUAAAUUGCUUUUGUACGGAACGAAAAGCUUUGGGUUAAUACCUUGGAGUCAUGACGGUACCGUACGAAUCAGCACCGGGUAACUCCGGGCAAGCAGCCGCGGUAAUACGUAGGGGGCAAGCGUUAAUCGGAAUUACUGGGCGUAAAGCGUGGGCAGGCGGUUUUGUAAGACAGAGGUGAAAUCCCCGGGCUCAACCUGGGAACUGCCUUUGUGACUGCAAGGCUAGAGUACGGCAGAGGGGGGUGGAAUUCCGCGUGUAGCAGUGAAAUGCGUAGAUAUGCGGAGGAACACCGAUGGCGAAGGCAACCCCCUGGGCCUGUACUGACGCUCAUGCACGAAAGCGUGGGGAGCAAACA
rnacentral:rRNA from 1 species